rnacentral:rRNA from 1 species
UUUUUGGGGGUGUUUUUUUUUUACCCCCCCCCUAAGCGCCUGUUUAUCAAAAACAUCGCCUCUUGCAAAACAUAAGAGGUCCAGCCUGCCCAGUGACACUGUUCAACGGCCGCGGUAACCUAACCGUGCGAAGGUAGCAUAAUCAUUUGUCCUUUAAAUGGGGACUAGCAUGAAUGGCAUCACGAAGAUUAUACUGUCUCCUUUUUCCAAUCAGUGAAACUAAUCUCCCCGUGAAGAAGCGGGGAUAUACAUAUAAGACGAGAAGACCCUAUGGAGCUUUAAGUAAAACAACAUUUGCCAUUACACAUCUUAAUUUAAGAAAAUUAACCUAUACUAUAGCAUUUUGAUUGUUAGCUUUAGGUUGGGGUGACCGCGGAGUAAAAAAGAACCUCCACAUUGAAAGGGGGUAAUCCCCUAAACAAAAAGUUACAACUUUAUGUAUCAACAUAUUGACAUCAAUUGACCCAAAAAUUUUGAUCAACGAAACAAGUUACCCUAGGGAUAACAGCGCAAUCUGCUUCGAGAGCCCAUAUCGACAAGCAGGUUUACGACCUCGAUGUUGGAUCAGGGUAUCCAAGUGGUGCAGCCGCUACUAAUGGUUCGUUUGUCAACGAUAAACCGUACGGAUAUCCCG